GAGCUCGUCGGGCCCGUGGGAGCUCGUCGGGCCCGUGGGAGCUCGUCGGGCCCGUGGGAGCUCGUCGGGCCCGUGGGAGCUCGUCGGGCCCGUGUGGAGUUCAGGACCCUGUGUGAGCUCCAGGUGGCCCGGGGAGCUGAGGGGCCCCAGGCGAGUUCAGGUGCCCGUGGGAGCUCAGGGAUCCUGUCUGGAGCUCAGGGCUCUGUGGGAGCUCCAGGUGACCCGGGGGAACUCGGGGGGAGGGCAUGGGAGCUCGGGAGUAAAUGGUAAAAUGGAUCCGAGUCUCAAAGUACAUUCUUUCUGUGCCUGCUAAAUCUUUCUGCAUUUCCUGUAACCCUCUCACUUCACAGGUCAUUCUGCAUCAAGUCGUGUCUUCUCCGUGAAAUAUAUUUCUGUACAUGAGCCAGUGGUAAUUUCUAAGAUAUUUCUCCUCAGACAGUCUCCAAACCUUCCUCAAUUAUCUGCACUUCUAUUCUGGCAGCUCUUUGUCGUUGUUUAGUUGCAUUGAUAUGAGUGUUUAAGUAUUUCAUGUGCAAUUACAAGGAGUCAUGUGAGAGAGGGCCAUUUGCUUCAUAGAAUUAUGAAAUCAUUUGGGUUGGAAAAGCCUCUGAGCCCAUUGAGUCCAACCACUCCCCUGGCACUGCCAAGGCCUCCACUACCCCGUGUCUCCAAGUGCCACGUCCACACGGCUGUUAAACCCCCCAGGGAUGGGAACUCCACCCUUGCCCUGUGCAGCCUGGGCCAGGGCUGGACAGCCCUUUCCAUGAGGAAUUUUCUCCAUGUCCAACCUAAACCUCCCCGGCACAGUUUGAGGCUGUUUCCUCUUGUCCUGUCACUUGGAGUGUUACUUGGAGAAAAAAGAUAAAUCCCAGUUGCCAACAGGGAAGUACUGUAGCACUUACCUGAGGUACUUGUACAACUGCCUGAUGCAUGGCAAAUGUCCUGAACCUAUGCUCCAGGACCACACAUGUUCCUGGGAAGUCUGCCUCAAUGUCAUGAUACUCACUGUAAGAGUACUUCAUCGCUAGAGUCACUCACUGUCACAUAUUGCAGCUGUUUUGCUUUGUACAAGUACUUAAACAUUAACUGGGCCUUUCUGAGUGGGGCAUGAUCCCCUCGUGCAGAGGUAAAGCAGCUCCUAGAAUGUGGAAAGUCAAGGUGCAAAUCCAUGACCUAAAAUAAGAAAAUGGGAUCUCUACCACAAGUAAGACUGAGCAAUCACCAUUUGCAAGUAUCACAGUCAUCCAGAACAGGGAAAACUGGUAGAAGUUCCCAUUCCACUAAUAGAUAGUACAGUUUUUAAUUAAAAAAAGAAAGGUUUAAUGUUGGACCUGGCAGUGCUGCAUUAGUGGUUGGACCCCAAGGUCUCGGAGGGCUUUUCCAACCUCAGCAAUUCUGUGAUGCUGUGAUACUGUUACUACAGACAUUGGUAACAAGUCUCUCUCCAUCCUUCUUUUCAGCCCCCUUUAAGUAUUGAAAGGCCACAAUAAGGUCUCCCUGGAGCCUUUUCUUCUCCAGGCGAACCCCCCCAGCUGUCCCAGCCUGGCUCCAGAGCAGAGGGGCUCCAGCCCUCGGAGAAUCUCCAUGGCCUCCUCUGGACCUGCUCAAGCUGGUCCAUGUCUUUCUUGUACUGAGGAGCUCCAAGCUGGAUGCAGUGCUCCAGGUGGGAUCUCACCAAACUUGAGUACAGGGGAAGAAUUACCUCUCUCGACCUGCUGGCCACACUGUUGCUGGCACAGGCCAGGUGCCAUUGGCCUCUGGCCCACCUGGGUACACCUGAGCUCCUGUUCAGCCACUGUCACCAGCACCUCUAGGUUCUUUUCCAGCUUUCCAGCUGCUCUAUCCCAAGGCUUGAGCAUUUCAUGGGCUUGUUGUGACCCAAGGGCAGGACCUUGUGGAUCCUCACACCAUUGGCUUUGGCCCAUCGAUUCCCUCCCAUUGAUCCAGCCUUCCCAGACACCCCUGCAGAGGUUUCUGCCCUCUGAUCCACACUCCCACCCAGUCUGGUGUCCUCUGCGAACUGGCUGAAGUGCCCUCAAUCCCCUUGUCCAGAGAGUCAAUAAAGACAUGAAACAGGACUGGCCCCAGCACUGAGCCUGGGGAACCCCACUGGUGCCCAGCCCCGUUUCCCACCACUCUCUGGGACUGGCAUCAGCUGGGUGUUACCGAGCAAACAGUGCGCCUGUCCAGGCCAGGAGCAGCCAGGUUCUCCUGGAGAAUGUUGUGGGAAAUGCUGUCAGAGCUUUCCUAGAGUCCAGGCAGACACAUUCACAGCCUUUCCCUCAGCCACUGAGGGGUGACCCUGUCACAGAGGGAGAUGGGGUUAGUCAGGCAGUACCUGCCUGUUACAACCCCAGGCUGGCUGGGCCUCAUCCCCUGGUUGUCCUUCUUUUGAUGCAGCCCAGGACAUGAUUGACUCUCUGGGCUGCAGGUGCAUGUUGUCAGCUCACAUCCAGUUUUUCAUCCACCAGCACCCCCAAGUCCUUCUUCUCAGGGCCACUCUCCAUCCACAGAAUCAUGGAAACACAGAAUGGUUUGGGUGGGAAGUAACCUUAAAGAUCAUCUCAUUUCACCCCCUUGCCAUAGGCAAGAACACCUUUCACUGGACCAGUUUUCUCAGAGCCCCAUCCAACCUGGCCUUGGACACUUCUAGGGAUGGGGCAGCUGCAGUUUCUCCAGGAAAUCCAUUCCAGUCUCUCACUACACUCACAGGCAAAGGUUUCUUUCCAAUAUCUCAUGUAUAUCCCUGCUUUUCUAGUAGGAAUCCCUUCCCCCUUGUCCUGUCCCUCCAUCCCUUGUCCAGAGUCCCCCUCCAGCUCUCCUGGAGCCCCUUUAGGCACUGGGAAGGCUCUAAGGUCUCCCUGGAGCCUCCUCUUCUCCAGGCUGGAAGGUCCCAGCUCUCCCAGCCUUGCUCCAGAGCAGAGGGGCCUGUUCUCUCUCUCUCUCUUCCAGGCAGCGAGUGAUCACCUCUCUUGCAGCCCUUUGUUGAGCCCAUUCUGGCUCUGCUGCAGGCCUGAGCUGGGGCAGGCUGUCAGCACACUGCUCACUGUCUGUGUUUCUCCCCAGGCCUACGGCAUCGUCUGGAAGGCAAUCGACCGCAGGACGGGAGAAAUAGUUGCUGUUAAAAAGAUUUUUGAUGCUUUCAGAAACAGGACGGAUGCUCAGAGAACAUUUCGAGAGAUUAUGUUCCUGCAGGAAUUUGGAGAACAUCCAAAUAUCAUCAAGCUGCUCGAUGUUAUCCAAGCUGAGAAUGACAAGGAUAUCUACCUCAUCUUCGAGUCCAUGGAGACAGAUUUACAUGCUGUUAUUAAGAAGGGGAAUUUGCUGAAAGACAUCCACAAGUGUUACAUUCUCUACCAGCUCCUGAAGGCAACUAAAUUCAUCCACUCGGGGAAUGUCAUUCACAGGGAUCAGAAGCCCUCCAACAUCCUGCUGGAUGCAGAGUGCUGUGUGAAGCUGUGUGACUUCGGGCUGGCCCGUUCCCUGUGCCAGCGGGGCGAGGAGCAGCCCAGCCCCGCGCUGACCGAGUACGUGGCCACGCGCUGGUACCGCGCCCCCGAGAUCCUGCUGGCCUCUCGCAGUUACACUAAAGGUGUAGACAUGUGGAGCAUUGGCUGUAUUCUGGGAGAGAUGCUGCUUGGGAAGCCUCUUUUCCCUGGAACAUCAACAAUGAAUCAGAUAGAGCAGAUCCUAAGGGUCAUCCCUGCUCCGUCCCCAGAAGAUAUUGUGGCUCUGCAGUCAGAGUACAAGGCCUCAGUUAUUAACCACAUGAGUUCCCGGCAGCGAGUAACAUUUGAGGAGAUUUUCCCAUCCUCUACUCCACUCCCUGCCUUGGAUCUGCUGAAGAAACUUCUGGUAUUUAACCCUGACAAACGGCUCACAGCAGAGGAGGCUCUGCAGCAUCCUUAUGUGAACAGAUUCCAUUGUCCUUCCAGGGAGCCCUCUUUGGAUUAUAAUGUGGUCCUUCCUUUGGGUGAUGAUGUCCAGCUGUCUGUGGCAGAAUAUCGAAAUAAAUUAUAUGAGUUGAUCCUUGAAAAAAAAUCAAGGAGCCUUCUAAAGGAGCGAGGGCAGAGAGAAAACCUUCAGCUGAGCCAGUCUGAAUCCAGCCCACUUCUCCCAAAUUUCAGCCCAGUGACUGUACCCACCAGAAAAGUCCAGCAAGAACCAGCACCUCCUCUCCUAAACCCUUCACAUGUGCAUGCAGGAGCCACAGCAGGAGUCCAGCCAACAGGAUCCAGCCAGAGCAAGGAUUUGGCCAGAACUGUGUGUCAGAGAUCACAGAUCAGUGUGAUGAUGUACAACCCCAUCACACACACCACUGUGCAGAGAAAUGCAAAUCCUGGUGCUGGGAUCAGGAACUUUUCUGCACCACCUCAACAACCCAGAAUCUCCACCAAUGGGAAACUAGGGAGACAAAUCUCAUGGACAAACACUGGGCUCCCUCCUACAAGUGUGCAGAACCUUUACAAUAAUCCCAGAAACUCUCAGUGUCACAGCAAAGAUGUUCGUCCCCUUCUGAAGCCCAGUAAAAAGAUGUUCCAGAUCACUGCCAAUGUGGGAGCUGCGGGUGAUCCAAGAGCAUCGAUGGGCAGCUACUCCCAGGCCUAUGGAACCAUCAGUAAAUCUGCACUGCAGAGUCUCCCCAUAACAAAGGCCUCCCAAAACCCCGAGCAGUGAAUGUGGAGAUGUUCCAGCCAGAAAGCAGAGUUCCAUGAGGUACUAUUGCUGAGACAUCGUGAAGGUGUUACCAGGCUACAGUGGGACUACAGGAAACUUUAUAUUCCUGUUUUAAUGCGGAUUUUGGAUACAUUCUCCUCAUUAACUUGAAGUUCUUGUCUGUGUCCCUGAAGUUUUACUCCACCUGUGAUAAAUGAUUGUUAUUCCAGAACAUUGGAACUACAGUUACCAAGGGGAUUCAGGUGCUGAAUUCCAGCAUGUGUGGUCACUGGAGUCUGGUAACAGGAGGGAGCCAGGAAGUGCAGCUCACAGGGAAGUCCAGGCUUACUGUGGUAUAUUCAUAGUACAGGUGUUUCCUGCCUGUCUGAGGUCCAGGGAGAUGUAGGAGUGGCAGUGCCAGGGGAGCCUGUGGUGUGGGCAGAGCUCUGAGCAGUGGGUUGGCUCCCGAGAGUCCAAAUGCUGGUUGUGGGGCAUCUGAGAGAGAAGGGCACCCAAUUCCAGCUGUGAGCUCCCUUGGAUCCUGGCCCCUCACAGCAUGACAGCCAAGGGCCUCUGUGACCCCCAUCCCAGACUGAGAGUAGCUGGGCUGGAACACCAACAGGUUGUUCUUACAGUGACUUUAGUUGCUGCCAAGGGAAUUGGUUCUUCUGCAAUAGUUGGUUGUGCCACCUGCAGCAACUGGUCACCCACCUGUCACCAGCAGAGCUGUGUCACUCGGGCUCUGGGCAGAAGCACAUGUCCCACCUGAGCAAGAGAAAAUCCUAAACAAUAAGUACAGCAAAAUUCUAAAUUGCUAAUGUAGCCUGUCACUGCAGAAAUAAAUUCCAAAUUUGUCUGUUACAGAACGAGGCUGGAGCAGGUGGGUUUGGGAAGGGCUGGGGAGGUGUGGAAUGAUGUAAGAAUUGCACAAACAGAGCUAGAAUAUAUAUGCACAUACCUCUCUAGAGUAAAAGAAUCUGUAUUGGCUGACAGAGAACAACUGUCGGCCACUGCAGUUCAUUUUGGGACCCAUCAAUAACUCCAUCUGAUUGAUUAAUCAGAGCAGACAAAAUAACUCAUUUAUGGCUGUGGACAUGUAUAAAAGAUCAUGGGCUGUAUCUGAGAUGGGUCACAAUGUUCAGUUUUAAACUAAAAGAGGAGAUAUUUAGAAAAGAUAUUGUGAAGAAAUUCUUCCCUGUGAGGGUGCUGAGUUCCUGGCACAGGUUUCCCAGAGAAGCUGUGGCUGCCCCAUCCCUGGAAGUGUCCAAGGCCAGGCUGGAUGGGGCUUGGAGCAACCUGGGACAGUGGGAGGUGUCCCUGCCCAUGGCAGGGGGUGGGGCCAGAUGGUCUUUAAGGUCUCUUCCCACACAAACCAUCCUGUGAUUUUGUGAUAAUAUGAAAUGGGUAUAAGAAAUCCAUUUCUACUUUUUUCCCAGUUUUGGCCCCUUUUCCCAUCCUUUUUUUCCUCUUUUGUCCUCUCCUAAUUUUAUUGCUCAGUGUACCUCCUCAUGUUACAACAAAGCUGCUCUUGAUUCCUGCAGAUUUUUACCACCAUUUGUGUUAAAAUGGAAAUCAGCCUUAAUUUUUUUUUUCAGAUCAGACAGUCAUUCUGCACAUCCAGUUCCCAAGGUUUUCAGCAAACAGUAAAAUAAUCAUUAACUGUUAUAAAUACCUAAGUCCAGCCUGCUGCCCUGGGAGCUGGCAUCCCAGGAAAAGUUCAAGUUUCAGAGACUCCACUAGUGCCGUGGGCAGCCUAUGUCAGGACUGGACAAUCCUUUCCAGGGUUUUGGAAGGAAUUUUCCAAAUAUCCAACCUAAACCUCCCCUGGCACAACUUGAGGCUGUUUCCUCAGGCCUCCUAAAACCAGGCCCAUCUCCAUCAAUAGCACUUCAAUGUCCUUUUUAUGGCCUUUUCAGCUGCUCCUUCAGCUGAGUCCUUAAAGCAAAUAAUUCCCUACACACAGGAGAACAAACCUCAAGCAAACCAGAUCCCACAGGCUCAGGAACUGCUAAAUACAAAAGCUGGGCCUGUGCUGCUGGACAAGACCAGAGUCACAGAUUAGGGCCAAAAGUUGGUUACAAUAUUUUUUUGGUCUGUAAACCUUCAAAAAGAUGCCUCCUGUGACUGAUUCAUUGUGAGCUACAGAGAAAGGAUAACUGUACCUGAGAAACAACAGGCUUUAAACACUUUUUCCAGUUAAUGUAUGUGUGUCUCUGUGUGUAUUUAUCUUUCCUGGCCUGAACUCAAGUAUUGAAUUUUCUAUUUUUUAUUCUUUUCUUCCGAAAGUAGAAUUGUUUUGUCAGCUGAAAAAUAUUCCUUGGGUGUAACAGAGACUUUCAGUUUUGUACAGUAACAGAACAGAGACUUCUUUUAAAAAAAGAGACUUCUGUGUUUUAAGCAUGUUGGCAGUUCAAUAAUUUUAUUAGGAACAUAGUGUAAUAAGGUUGUUUGAUACCACCUGACUUUAUGGAGCAAACUGUGCCGUGGGAGGCUCAUGCUGGACAUGUUUCUGCUCACUUACCCAGAAGAGCAUUGCCUGUGGGGUUUGUAGCCAUCAUAAACAAGUUUCUUCCUCCUUCCCCUGUGACAGUCAGUGAUUAAAUGGAAUUAAAUAGGAUUUUUACGAUCAUUUUUUGGUCUUGAAGGUCCCCAGGAUUUUGGGCAUGAAUUUUCCCAUCUUCUUGUCUUUGGCAUCUGUGUCAUAUUCCUCUUCACUCGGACUCGUGUGUUCGUCCUUCUUGCAGAACACCUCGAACCUGCUGUAGACUCGCUUCUCCUUCCGCAUGUUCUCCAUUUUUUUCAGGAGGGUGUCUCUGUCCUCCGACGGCUGCCGCUGGAAGUUCCGUUUCUGGCUCCCAAAGCUCUCCGACCUGUGGAUGUUGCAGCUUUUCUCCUUCUCCCCUUUUCUUUCCAAGCUCAUGGUUGACCUGGAGAGGUCAGGGUUGCUGGUGGACGGCAGCUGCUUGGCCAGCUCGGCUCUGUUCUUCUGGCUGUUGGCAGAGAUCUGCUCCAGGAUCACCUUGGUGUCGUCACGCAGGUUGCUGCUGUACAGGAUGUUGGCUGUGGAGGAAGGGAACCUCCCCUGCGUUGUCUGGCUGCUCUUGGGGGGGAGCGGUGCUGCGAAUUUGUGGGAUUUUUCUUCUUCCAUUGCUUCCUGGCAGUCCCCUAUGGACGAUCGUUUGAGCACCACUGCCUGCUUGUCACAUUUUCCACUCUCAGAAGCGGGUUCCUCCUCAAACUUCUUUUCACCUUUUGGGUUUAAAAGCUGCUUCAGUCGUAGUGACCCUUUUCUUAAAAAUUCCAUGGGAUUUUGCUCUUGUUUUGAACAGUCUUCCUCAGAUUUAUUGAGAGAGCUGUCAGACCCUGGACUCCUAGACAGGCUUUCCAGAGCUGAGGAUGUGGUACUUGUCCUAACUUGUGGUUUCUUCAUUUCUGUGUUGACUAACUUUGGAGUGUCUUCUCUGAAGGUCACCCUGUCCUUCUUCUCUGGAAGAGCCAAUUUCUGAGUGUCUCCUACAUAUAUCAGACUCUCCUUCUCUGGAAGAGCAGGUUUGUUCUCAAUCGGGUAAAACCGAGAUGACAGCUUGUCCACCUUAGUGCCAAGAUGUGCCAGGGGAUCCUUACUCAAUGCAUCCCCAAGCUGGGGGGUGGAUGAGGCCAUUCCGAAUGCUCUGUCCAACUCUCCGUGCAUUUUGUAAGUACUGCAGGAGUCUUUGGAGUCCAGCACCCUGCUCUCCAGAAUCUUAUACUGCACGGAUUUGGUACAUUUCUUCUCCGUGUUCUGUGAUUCCUCCUGGAGGUAACCUGAAACAGCUUUGGUGUGGGUGACUGUGCCCCGCUCCGUGUCCUUGCCCACGGCUUUGUACUUCUCCAGCAGCUCGGCCACUUUGGAGGAGGUGGCCGUCUUGAUGGUUUCAUUGUCCUUCGUCACCUCACUGGACAUCUGCUCUUUUUGGAUCAUCUGCACCUUUUCUAUUGUGGUGUUGGGCUGAUCUAAUUUGGCAGCACUGAAAAUCAGAGAGGACCUGAGCCUGGAACUCCUCUGGAUCAAGGGAUUUAUCCUGGACCUGAAGGCAUCUGGUUUCAUUAUCGAGGUUUCUUCACCUGCUCUAUCAGGAUCCGCAAAUUCCUUGGCACUGUCAAUUCCCAGUGCCUUGCUAUUGAAAGAUGUGGGGGAUUUGAAGGCUGGGAUGAGGUCAGUGGGGUGCUUUGGGAGGGGAUCCCCAAGAGCAUCAUUAUACGCCUCGGACUCCAUCGGCAUCGGGAGCCCUUCAUCCGGUUCAGACUGGUACGCGCUGAGGUACGAAGAUAUCCUCCAGUUCCGUAACCCUGUUCUGUUCUCCUGGGUGUUCUUGUCAUCGUCCUGGUCCUCGUCCUUGUCCUGUAGGAACAAGCGCUGCUCCAGGCUCUGCUUCUGCGUGGGAGAAGUCUGGCAAAUGAAUUUCUGUCCUAUAUUCUGCCUCCGUAACAUCAUUCCCAUCGGGCCAUUGCCUGCAGGGUUCAACUGGUCGGAGCCGUGUCUCACCUCCCUGGAAGAAUUUGAGGGUACGUAAUCCAGCCGUAAGGGGAAACCCUCCUGGGAGAAACUGGGUUCCAGUUCAGGGUAUCGGGGUCCCUCUCCAUAGUCUUCCAGUUCAUUGAAUCCCGGCCUUCCCCCUCGAAUCCUGUCAAAGAAUCCCUGAGGUCUGCCAGAGAGAUGGGGAUGUUCAAACUGGUACUGGUAGAACUGGUCCUUCUGGAAAUGACUGGAUUGGAUUUUGAACUCAUCCAUGUUGUUCAUGAACAUCUGCCGGGCAUACUGCUUGGAAGAAGCAAAAUUUUCAAAUGUUCCUUCUGCAAAACUGUGUCUCUUAAAGGCAUCCAGCUCUAGCUGCUUGGAACGGAGGAAGCCCCUGACCGGGUCCAUCUGGGAAUUCUCCAUUUCCACCUUUUUAUACAUCCUCAUGGCUGAGCCCUCCACGGUGUGCCGCAGCAUGUCAUCCCGCCGAAAGUUGGAGAGGAAGUACCUGUCCGGAUCCACUCUGUCCAUGAAGGAGGGGAAGAGGCUGUCAUCCCUCUGGAACAUCAGGGGGCCUUUUUUGGGAAAGAAAGGCAUGUUAUUGCCAAAGGGAGCCAUGGCGAAGGCAUUCUCUGCCUUUGCCAGGACAUUGGCUGGAGGAACGAGAGGUUCCGACUGUGCAAACAAAAUGCGGAAUUCCUCAUCAAAGCUGGCCACCAGCUCGCCCUGGAAGAUGUGCGCGAUGCUCCUGUGGAUCUUCUCGAAGGACCACAUGAAACUACGGAGAGAACAGAAGUGAUGGAGGGCAUUAGCAUUGAGUAACUCAGCUGGACCCCUUUUCAUUAAAGCGUUUGCUUGCCUGAAGGAAAUUCUGAAUUUUCUGCUCAGGUAGAAAUAUGGCAAAAUAAUGACAGAAAAUUCCCCUGUAGGCACUUGUUACACAUGAUCGUUCCCUAACCUCACAGUUAGCUAUUGAUUUGGGAUCACAUCUUUGCAGAGGAUUUUACAAGGCAACAAAUGACUUCUGUUCUAAAAAGCCAGUCCGUAGUGUCCACAGCCAGAGAAUGAGGGGAUGAUUAUUGGGGAUGAUUAUUGUUGUGUGAAGUAGAUGCUUCUGUCUUUAACACUGUUGAUAAUGUCUGGGACAUCAGUCAGUGUGUGCCCUCUGCACUUGGCAGGUGACACCAGUCAGGGGACCCCAAAGGCUGGGCAGCUGUGCCAAUGGGAACCUCAGGACAUCGAGCAGAGGCAAAUGCAGGAUCUUGCCCCUGCAGUGGCACAACCCUUCCACCCACACAGGCGAGGGGGGACUGGACAGAAGGAGCUGGGCUGGAAAUGAGGGAGGAGGAUGUUCAGUGUUACAGCCUUUGUCUUCCCAAGUCAAGCUCUGCUUUUCUGGGAAUGGCUGGAUAUCUGCCAAGCCGUGGGAAGCAGGGAAGAGAUCCCUUGCUUUGCUUUGCCUGUGUGUGCCUGUUUGCUGUAGGUGUUAAACUGUAUCACAACCCAGGAGUGUUCUCAUGUUUCAGAUUCUCUGCAGUAUCCUGCUAGGAGGUGUGAGGGACACCUGGGUGGGGUUUAGCUGCCUGCUGGGGUUAAGCAAAACCCUUAAAAUUAUUGUCUUUUUUUUUAUAGAUUUUUUAAUUCUUGAUGCGAAGGAAGCCUGGCUUGGGGUGUCUGGGGUCGAGGACUUCUUCAAUUGGUGUAUUGACCUCCACUGCAGUAUGGUGUACUUUACCUGAAAAAUUGCUGCUCAGUAUCCUUCAGUGAGGAAAACUUUUGUCCCUGAUAUCCAUGUGGAAUUGCAAAAUGCUGCUUCACCAACUCACCAGCUUCUCUUAUAGAAUGCCAGACUGAUUUGGGCUGGAAGGGACCAUCGCAACCACCUUGUUCCACUCUCCUGCCAUGGGCAGGGACACCUUCCACUAGCCCAGGCUGCUCCAAGCCCUGUCCAACCUGUAUUUGAACACUUCCACAACUUCCUACUUCAAAAAUGAUACAAUAUUUGAAAACCCAAAGCACAUGAGAGAGUGGCAGAAGUAGUCUUGAACAAUUAACUUGAUGUUCUCAUAAGCAAAAAAUGAUUCAAUUGGAACAGUUAGUUGUUUGGUACAGCAUCAAGUUUGACAAUAAUUCUUUCCAAACAUCGGGAAAAAAGCUCAAGUGGAAUCUUGUUACAAAGAAUGUGCACUUUAUUCAGAUGCCUAUGCUGUGGAUGUUUAUCUUCAUAUACUGUUUUUUAAAAUACCCCUAGUUCUAUUUGCUUAUCUUCCACCAGGAGAAGCAACUCCUGGCAGGCUUUGAGCAACCUGGUGUAGUGGAAGGUCUCCCUGCCAAGAGCGGGGGGUGAAACCAGAUGAGCUUUAAGGUCCCUUCAACCUAAACCAUUCUGUGGUUCUGUGAUUACACGCUUAGAGCAUGACAGGUGUUCAUCCCAUCACGCCUUAAUACUUGAAAGAGAAAUUCUCAUAUUGGAACUCACUAAAAACAUUUAUUCUGCCAACAAUGGAUGCCUUAGCUGGGGAGAUUGUUGUUCCAAAAGAAUGGUAACAUGUUAGUGGCUGAUCUCCAUCCUAACUAAAACCAUCCACCUCUCUGUUGCCCAGAGAAGCUGUGGCUGCCCCAUCUCUGGAAGUGUUCCAGGCCAGGUUGGACAGGGCUUGGAGCAACCUGGUCUAGUGGAAGGUGUCCCUGCACAUGGCAGGGGGUGGGACAAGAUGAGCUUUAAGGUCCAUUCUCACACAAACCAUUCCAUGAUUUGAUGAUUGUAUGAGUGGAGGUUGAAGUUCAUUUGUUCCAGACUAGGAUGCAAGUCUCCAUACACUACAGCAAAUUCUCCUUGGAAGUUACAUGGCUCAGAUGGGAGCUGGGCACCUCUGUAGGCAACCUCUUGCACAAAGCACCUGAGUCUCUCACCACAGGACAGGCACCAUGACAGGGCUCCUCACCUGUAGUUGCCGCUGAGUACCACCAUGCAGUCCACCAGCAGGAACUUCUCCUUCAGGUGCCCUUUGAAGGACAUCCCCGUGCGGCAGUAGUAAGUUGGGCCAGACACUGUCCUCACCCUCAGGAACUGCAAACCAGAAAGGCACUGACUCAGGUGGGACCCUCAUUCCCUCCCCUGCCCCUCCUCCUUCCCCCUCUCCUUUAACCUCCGUCCUGCCACCAGAUUCUCCUACAGCUCUAGUGAUUCUGCCUGCAGACACACAAAUGGACAAAACUUUAUCAGUGUGUCCUCAGCCUUUACCCCUUGUCAUGCCAGCUCUCCCCUCUCUCUUCACAUUCAUCUUUUACCAGGCUCUGGCCUGUUUUCCCCUUUCUCAGGUGUUUCCUGCCACACUAGCCUUCUGUGUCCCAGGACACAUCUGCCUCAGGACAUGACUCAAGCAGGGCAGGUCUUUGCUCACCUCCACAUAGUUCAGGUUGACUCUGCACUUGGCAGCUGUAUCAAGGAAAAGCUGGGAGUUCAUUUCAUCCAGCAGGAUGUAGACAGGCACUCGGCGAGAAGCAGCAUCCAGCACCUCAAAGAGUAGAUCCACGUCUGUGAAAACGUCCAUCACGAUGGCCACCACCUGGGGAGGGAUGCAGGGACACCUCAGCCACCUGUGCCAUCUCAUGCACGACUGUCCAUGUUCCCCAGCACCUCACACCCCAAAGCUGCACUGUCUCCAUCUCCCUUUUGAAACUGGAACUUUCAUUCCAACUUCCUUUUGGAACAGGAAACAUCCCAAUUAAAGGUUCCUUUAACCACUCUGGGCCUGAGAACUGGAAACAAAAUUUCUGUCCAGGAAAUGUUCUGGUAUGAGGUGUGAAGGAAAACUUCACUGCCCCUGAAUGUUCCCUGACUGAUCAA